rnacentral:misc_RNA from 1 species
GAUGAAAACGUAGCGAAAUGCGAUAAGUAAUGUGAAUUGCAGAAUUCAGUGAAUCAUCGAAUCUUUGAACGCACAUUGCGCCCGCCAGUAUUCUGGCGGGCAUGCCUGUCUGAGCGUCAUUUCAACCCUCAUGCCCCUAGGGCGUGGUGUUGGGGAUCGGCCAAAGCCCGCGAGGGACGGCCGGCCCCUAAAUCUAGUGGCGGACCCGUCGUGGCCUCCUCUGCGAAGUAGUGAUAUUCCGCAUCGGAGAGCGAUGAGCCCCUGCCGUUAAACCCCCAUCUUUCCAAGGUUGACCUCAGAUCAGGUAGGAAUACCCGCUGAACUUAAGCAUAUCAAUAAGCGGAGGA